UCUCUCUGAAUCUGCGUACGGCUCAUUAAAACAGUUAUAGUUUAUUCGAUUAUUUUCACCUACAUGGAUAACCGUAGUAAUUCUAGAGCUAAUACAUGCUGUCAAACCUGACUUUUGUGGAAGGGUUGUAUUUAUUAGAUAUAAACCAAUACUCCUUAACGGGAGUGUUGUGAUGAUUCAUAAUAACUGAGUGGAUCGCGGCCAUGCCGCGACGAAUCGUUCAAGUUUCUGCCCUAUCAGCUUUCGAUGGUAGUGUAUUGGACUACCAUGGCGAUCACGGGUAACGGGGAAUUAGGGUUCGAUUCCUGGAGAGUGGGCCUGAGAGAUUGUUAG
rnacentral:rRNA from 1 species